UCCAAGGCACCCUGCGGACUAGGAGCGGCGGCCGCCGGAGCCCGCAGGGGGGAGCCGGGUAGGGCCGGAAGGGGGAGCUUUCCUCUGAAGCAGACGAGGUUGAGGUGCUGCUGCGCCCGUGAUGGAGGCAGGAGGAUUCGAUGUCGGUGGGAUCGAUUGGGUUGCAGGGGACCGCGACACUCCUUCAGAGAAGGCCAGUGUCUCCCUCACCGUCAUUUCGCCGAUGUGAAGGUCAUGCUGCCCGAUGUACGCUGAUGUCCUCUGGGGGACAAAUUCAUGCAUGUCAUGCCCGUUAGUCGAAGGUGGCGAAGUAUGAAAUGCAUCCUGGCUUCGGUAGGCGCACUGGUUUGACUUUGGAAGGUGCUCUACGUCGGUGCCCAAGCUACGCGGCUUCUUGAGUGUCUCCGGCUGCCUGGUCAUCGCUGUAGGGAGCUGCUUAGGAUAGCUUGGCACUGAUCCAUCUAUAUUAGCCCAAGACUUUAAAUUCCUCCAUGUUUGCAAUAAUUUGUCGUAGCUACUUUGUGUUGUGACCGAGAGCUGUGAAAUGUUUAUGAUGUCGGAUACUUGGCCUUGAAUUUUUUAAUAAAAAAUUGGGGCA